AGCUAAAUAGUUUAUAUAAAACAUUAAUUUUGUAAUUUAAUAUAAGAUAUCUUUAUCUUUUAGCUU
rnacentral:tRNA from 1 species